rnacentral:tRNA from 1 species
GUUGGCGCAAUGGUAGCGCGUGUCUCUCCUACCUCAGUAUUUUCUGGUGGUAAGACAAGGUUGAGGGUUCGAGUCCCUUGCUACU